CAGAGUCACAAGUUAAAAAGGAAGCAAAACCAGCUUCAUCCGAAAAAGCUCAAAUACACAAACAAGAAAAGACUGUUUCUCAUGGUAAACCAGAUGAAAAAGUUAUCAAGCAGGCAAAAGUUAUCACAAUAGAAAAAACAG